AUUGUACUAAAAAUUCUCUCAAUUUCUCUCUCGCUUUCAAUCAUUCGCUCGGUUAUAAUAAUAUUUAAAAUGGGGCAAUUUUCUCGUUCAAUUUCAGCUGUAGUCCUUCUUAUGUUGGUUCUUUUAGCAACAGAGAUGGGACCUGUGACAGCGGAUGGUGAUAAGAUAUGCGAGUCCCGAAGCAAUGCAUUCAAGGGGUUAUGCUUACGUGAUAACAAUUGUGAUAUUGUUUGCAAGACCGAGGGUUUUCCUAAUGGAGGUUGCAAAGGUUUUAUUCGCAAAUGCGUCUGCACUAAGCCUUGUUAGAUGAGCAAUUUCAUUAUACUUUAUCCCCUUUCCUCUUGUUAUGCAUGUGCACGAGAAUUGAGAGAAUAAAAUUUUCACAACAUAUUUCUGUACAAGGAAAUUUAUUAUUAUUGAAUAUUAACUUCUAAAUUAAUUC